rnacentral:rRNA from 1 species
UACGAAGGACCCGAGCGUUAUCCGGAUUUAUUGGGUUUAAAGGGUGCGUAGGCGGAUUUAUAAGUCAGUGGUGAAAGCCUUCAGCUUAACUGAAGAAUUGCCAUUGAUACUGUAGGUCUUGAGUACAGUUGAGGUGGGCGGAAUGUGCAGUGUAGCGGUGAAAUGCUUAGAUAUUGCACAGAACACCAAUUGCGAAGGCAGCUCGCUAAGCUGUAACUGACGCUGAGGCACGAAAGUGUGGGUAGCAAACAGG